rnacentral:rRNA from 1 species
AGUGAACGCUGGCGGUAGGCCUAACACAUGCAGGUCGAACGGCAGCACAGUAAGAGCUUGCUCUUACGGGUGGCGAGUGGCGGACGGGUGAGGAAUACAUCGGAAUCUACUUUUUCGUGGGGGAUAACGUAGGGAAACUUACGCUAAUACCGCAUACGACCUACGGGUGAAAGCAGGGGAUCUUCGGACCUUGCGCGAUUGAAUGAGCCGAUGUCGGAUUAGCUAGUUGGCGGGGUAAAGGCCCACCAAGGCGACGAUCCGUAGCUGGUCUGAGAGGAUGAUCAGCCACACUGGAACUGGAACACGGUCCAGACUCCUACGGGAGGCAGCAGUCGGGAAUAUUGGACAAUGGGCGCAAGCCUGAUCCAGCCAUACCGCGUGGGUGAAGAAGGCCUUCGGGUUGUAAAGCCCUUUUGUUGGGAAAGAAAAGCAGCAGGUUAAUACCCCGCUGUUCUGACGGUACCCAAAGAAUAAGCACCGGCUAACUUCGUG